rnacentral:rRNA from 1 species
GACGAACGCUGGCGGCGUGCUUAACACAUGCAAGUCGAACGGAAAGGCCCUGCUUUUGUGGGGUGCUCGAGUGGCGAACGGGUGAGUAACACGUGAGUAACCUGCCCUUGACUUUGGGAUAACUUCAGGGAACUGGGGCUAAUACCGGAUAGGAGCUCCUGUUGCAUGGUGGGGGUUGGAAAGUUUCGGCGGUUGGGGAUGGACUCGCGGCUUAUCAGCUUGUUGGUGGGGUAGUGGCUUACCAAGGCUUUGACGGGUAGCCGGCCUGAGAGGGUGACCGGCCACAUUGGGACUGAGAUACGGCCCAGACUCCUACGGGAGGCAGCAGUGGGGAAUAUUGCACAAUGGGCGGAAGCCUGAUGCAGCAACGCCGCGUGCGGGAUGACGGCCUUCGGGUUGUAAACCGCUUUCGCCUGUGACGAAGCGUGAGUGACGGUAAUGGGUAAAGAAGCACCGGCUAACUACGUG